GGGCCUGUAGCGCAGUUGGUAGCGCGCCUCGUUCGCAUCGAGGAGGUCAGGGGUUCGAUUCCCCUCAGGUCCACCA
rnacentral:tRNA from 5 species